GGGGAAUCUCUCCGGCAGCACGCAGCUCUCUCGUGUCGGUCCCAUCACUCCCAUAAAGGUUGCGGGUUUUGUUGUUGUUGUUGUUGUUGCUGUUUUGUUACCUGUUCGUGGGCGCUUUUCUUCGCGGUGCAUCACCGUGUGCGGCCUCGACGCACGUUAGAAGCAACGCAUUCACCCUCGGAGACACAUUGCACUACGGGGUCUUCCAUGAUGUCCGAGUCCAGGCGGCUGCACAGAGCGGCAGGCCGAGAGUCUCGACCUGACAGCAUCCAGGUCCUAAUAUUCAGCCGCAGUGAAUCAGUCACAGGAGGAGAGCGCUUUAGGUCCAGUUCCAUGGUGGCGGCGAGCAGAGACUGCGGAAGCCCCGUCAAAGCGGUCUGAGAGAUGAUACACUGUACACGGAACAUGCACGGCCUUCUAGGCCAGACAGCAUAGAAAAGUUAAAAAAUAAAUUAAAAUAAAAAAAAGC
ensembl:lncRNA